rnacentral:rRNA from 1 species
UGGGGAAUAUUGGACAAUGGGGGGAACCCUGAUCCAGCCAUGCCGCGUGUGUGAAGAAGGCCUUAUGGUUGUAAAGCACUUUAAGCGAGGAGGAGGGUACUGGUAUUAAUACUACCAGCUACUGGACGUUACUCGCAGAAUAAGCACCGGCUAACUCUGUGCCAGCAGCCGCGGUAAUACAGAGGGUGCAAGCGUUAAUCGGAAUUACUGGGCGUAAAGCGCGCGUAGGUGGUUCGUUAAGUUGAAUGUGAAAGCCCCGGGCUCAACCUGGGAACUGCAUCCAAAACUGGCGAGCGAGAGUAGGGCAGAGGGUGGUGGAAUUUCCUGUGUAGCGGUGAAAUGCGUAGAUAUAGGAAGGAACACCAGUGGCGAAGGCGACCACCUGGGCUCAUACUGACACUGAGGUGCGAAAGCGUGGGGAGCAAACAGG